UUUGGUGGGGCCUUUGUAUCUCGCUCCCGCCAGAGCUUGGGAUCAGUCUCUGCUGUUUUGAGUCCUCCACCUCGGGAGCCCCCGGUGACUGUCACAGCCUCUUGCCCUGUGAUCUGCAGGUUCUGGGAGACGCACAGCUAAGAUGCCAGGACAUCCUGGAAGCUGGGAAAAGGUUCUGACAACAAAGGAGAUUGUGACACAUUGCUGGGCCUAACACUAAGUUGAUGUUAGUUAUUUGCUUUGGCUGUGCCCUUGGAAGGCAUUGAGACAUACUGCUAUGCCCAGCACCAAGAUGAUGUGAGUUCCCUGCCUGAACCCUGAUCACAGGAAGCAUUGUGACCUAUCUGUUGACCCACUGCAAUCUCUCCUGUGGGAAAAGCACAGAUAAAUGCCCUCUUUUACCUACGUGAUUUGACACUCCUCUACUGCCUGGGCCGUGCCCACAGAAUAGAGAGUGACUUAUCACUGGACCAAGCACACCAGUGAUGUAAUUAUUCUGCUCGGUCCUUGCACACACAAGUCACUGUGAUAUAUGUUUGGGCCCAUCACCUAGAUGAUGUGA
rnacentral:lncRNA from 1 species